GUCAUUCGUGAUGUUGAGGAUAAUAAAAAGACUCUCGUCCGGUAGGAGUAGUAUAACUACAUAAACAAACAGUGCGAACUCAGAUGUAUGGCUACUUAUUAGAAUCAUCGAAUGAAACUGAAGUAACAAUACCGGAAUUUUUUUUCGAACUUAAUGGGUCGUUACAUUGUUCGCACAUUUCUAUAUCUGUUGCAAAUGAUGAACUACUGCUAGUCUCAUCAUCUGACUUUGCACAAAGUCGUCUCCGUAAAAGGUCAAUAUCUCUAGGAUAAAACAAUUUUUGUAAGCAAAUAUAGGAAAAGCGAGGCAACAAACAUAAGGCAAUGGUUAAAACAGUAACACACCAAAAGCCAAAAGUUUGACAAGUUCGCGAAGCUGAUUUGUGGAAAGCGUAAGAGGGGCCAACUUCUGAAUAAAUAAAUGUCCAUAUCCAAAAUACACCUAUGCUGAACAUCCAAGUAAUAAGUGAUAUUAAAUUCAAUCUCUCUUGAUUCAUCAAUAUAAAAAUGUUGAUUACAAAAAUAGUAGGAGAGGAUAUAAAAAGUCCUAUGUCUUCUAUACACUCGAUGUUCCUUCCAGUCCAACUUACAAAAUCACCAAACUUAAAAACAAAUAGAGCUACCCCAAAGCAUACCAAUGAUUGAUAUAUUCCAUCUAGCAUGUAAGACCUAAAAUAAAUAUUUAGCAAACAGAAAUCUUCAGAGUUAUACUUACCAAAAUCUCUUUCCGUUCCAUUCUAGACCUAAAAUUCCCCGUUGGUAUAAGCUUGGAUUUUUCAUUGAAACAGAUGCGUCAACGUCCUGGUCAAAACAACCUGCAAUAAUUACGGGUAGUGAUGUGAACAGCAGAUUAAAAAGCAUCACGUAG